AUGGCGCUUGACGGACCACAGCAGAUGGAGUUGGAGGAGGAAAAGGCAGGCAGUGGACUCUGCCAGUAUUAUCUGUCCAAGAUUGAAGAAUUGCAGCUGAUUUUGAAUGAUAAGACCCAAAACCUCUGGAGGUGGCAGGUGCACAGGAAUGAAUUAAAUGCUAAAGUGUGCCUAUUACAGGAGGAGCUACAGCUGCUGCAGGAAUAGGACUCCUGUGUCAGGGAAGUAGUCCAGGCCAUGGAUAAGAAGAAAAUGUUGGUCAAGGUGCAUCCCAAGGACAAGUUUGUCGUAGAUGUGGACAAAAAUAUCAGCAUCAGUGAUGAGACUCCCAGUUCCUUGGUGGUUCUAAGAAAUGACAGCUACACUUUGUACAAGAUCCUACCCAACAAGGUGGGCUCAUUGGUGUCACUGAUGAUGGUGAAGGAAGUACCAGAUUCGACUUAUGAAAUGAUUGGUAGACUGGAUAGGCAGAUCAAGGAGAUCAAAGAAGUGAUCGACCUGCCUGCUAAGCAUCCCGAGCUCUUCAAGGCACUAAGCAUUGCACAGCCCAAGGGAAUGCUGCUUAGAAGACACUGUUGGCCUGGGCUCUGGCUCAUCAUAGGGACUGUACCUUUAUUCAUGUCUCUGGCUCUGAAUUGGUACAGAAAUUCAUUGGGGAAUUUCUGUGAUGGCAGAGAAAAUGCUCAUCUGUGAUCUUCAUGGAUGAAAUCAACUCUUUCGGCUCCUCAGAGCUGGAGGGAGAUGCUGGAGGGAACAGUGAAGUGCAGCAGACGAUGCUUCGAGGAUGGCUUUGAGGCCAUCAAGAGUAUCACGGUUUAUCCUGGCCACUAAUACGAUUGAUAUCCUGGACUCGGCACUGCUUUGCCCAGGGCACAUUGACAGAAAAAUUGAAUUCCCACCCCGCAAUGAGUAGGCCUGGCUGGACACUUUGAAGAUUCAUUCUCAGAAAUGAACCUGACCCAGGGGAUCAACCUGAGAAAAAUUGCUGAGCUUAUGCCAGGAGCAUCGGGCUGAAGUGAAGGGCAUGUGCACAGAAACCGGCAUGUAUGCCCUGAACAGUGAGUCCAUGUCACUCAGAAGGACUUUGAGGUAGUCCAAAGUCCUAUCUCAUGCCAAAGGACAUGCCAAAGGACAGCGAGGAAAAACAUGUCCAUCAAGAAACUAUGGAAUUGAGUGGACAUCCUUUGUCUGUAUCCCUACAAUAAAACUCAAUGGGACAAGCAAAAAAAAAAAAAAAAAAAAAAAAAUAAAAGUUUUGGGGAGGGAUGAUCUGCUAGCGUAUAAUCAAUAACUUUUAAAAUUUAGCUUGUAUUUAGUAACGCUUCAUUAUGUUUUGAAAAAAAAAAAAGUAAAAAGUCUUUUGAAGCACAAUUUUCAUGAUGUUAAAGGUAUUGAGUUUCCUAGUGUAAGAACAUGAGUUCUGGAAACAGUCUUAGGGACACUGGGCAAGAUAGAGGCCUCCCCCCCUCCCCCCCCACCAACUUUGUUUGUAAAAAGAGAUAAUACUGCCUACAUCAGGGUUGAUGUGAGGAUUAAUUAGAAAAGUACAUGUAUGUAAGCACCAGACACACAGUAAACACUUAAUAAUGUUAGUGGCUAGUGUAAACAAACAUAUUUGUGCCCAUUUAUGAAUAACUUUAGUAUUCUCUCGAGUCAUGAGGUGUAGUAGUAAUAUCUAAGACCUUAACUGAAGUGUUUGAAGAAUCCUAGGUAUAACAGAGAACAUUAUGGGUGCUGAUUUCCACUCUCACUAAAACCCAGUGACUUUACUAUAUCAGCACCUAUAAAGCACUACUUGAUUCUGCAGAUUGUAUGGACCAAGAAUGUAGAUAUAAGACAGCUGAUCUCUAGGAACUGAAUUUUUAGUGAGUAAAGCAAGCAAGCAUGUAAUAGAGAACAAUAAAAGCUCUGGUAGACAUAUGUACAAGGUGUUGUAGAGGUACAAAGGAAAGUUAUUCAGACUCGGCAAGAGAGUGAUUAAACUUAAGUAUUUAAGAACAAAUAGAACAUAGCUCUAGGGGAUGUGGAACAUGCAAAGUGGAAAGUUUGGGAAGAGUAUUCCCAAGGCAAAAAGCUUAGCACAUACAAACAUAGGAGGAAAGCAAGACACUCUUACAGAGUUGCUAUGCUUUGGGAGGCGGAGGCUGGCGGAUCAUGAGAU